rnacentral:snoRNA from 1 species
UCUGUGCGGCAAUUUGUUCUCAAACCUGCGUGUUACUCGCCAAUCCUUUCAAUGGAUUUGUUUAGAGUGUCUAUCCAGGUUAAGAUAAAAAUUGAGAAUGUCUUAGCGCCCUAUUUCAAUAUUCCACAAAAAACUUACGGAUAUUGGAGGGCUGGUGAUUCCAAAAUUU